rnacentral:misc_RNA from 1 species
AAACCAUUCCAUUUUUCAAUGAGAGAAAACUAUAGCAAAUACAAAACCGAACUAAAUCACUUUAGAACCAACCAUAGGGACUAAAGGAUUCUCACUACAACAUGAUAAAGUAUAAAGUAUAUCCAAUUAGCACUUUUUAUUCGCAGACCAUAUCAACCAAAGCCUCUGUGAUGCUUGUACCUCAAAAUUUGGAGAAUAUGUGUUAAAAAGAACUGAGUCUCCUUUGUUUGCUGGACAGUUAGAUCAAGUUCUAUACUGCCAUUUUCA